rnacentral:lncRNA from 1 species
AAGUUAAGGUAUAACACUGUCUAUAUGGCCUCUAGAUGUUUUUGGUUCACUACAGUGGAGCCUCAUUUUAAUGCUAUUGUAUGAAACAACCUAAUUGAUUUUAUGAAGUUUUCAAUAUGUUUUUCUGUUACUUUUUUUUAAUUUGUUUGAGGUUAAAUUGGUCAAAAUGGACCAUUUAUGAGGCUGAGGACACAGAUUAGGCCCUAUGAGUCUGAAGUUUUAUUCCCUUUCAUAAUCACGUAUCAUACUGUCUUUAAAGCCCAGAUCAUUAAUCUUACCAAUAGAUGUCAUUGGUUACAGGGAGAAAUCAGGCAAACGGCUGAGGGUGGGUUGAGGCUAAUCUAUGAUGACUAUGGGGGACUCAACCUUCUGAUGUGUGACAGUAGGGUCACAUUCAGAGAUGAAGGUGAUCAUGUCAGGGGCACUAUUUUUACUAUCUACGUGAUAGCAUGUCACAUCAUAGCUUAGAUCUGUUGAAUUACUCACCAUAAAAUAUGAUGGUAGAUUCUCAUGUUAGGUGAAGCUCAUUAUUUACUUUACUGGAGAAAGGCAAUAUUAAACUUACAAUUUGGACAGCUAAGGUUAGGACAUUGCAUUGUAUAAUAAGCCACCCUAAAACUUGAUGAUUUCUAAUAACAGUAAUCAUUAAUUUGUUUACAAACCUGCAAUUUGGAUAGGAUUUGACUUCGUUUCAUGUGGCAUCAACUGGGAUAGCUCAACUGGGGCUGCAGGAUCCAUUUCUAAGAUGACUCACUUACAUGGCUGGUUCAUAGAAUGGGAUGCCCACUGAUGACAAUGCCAGGUAAUUUAAGUAAGAACGUCUUGCUCCCCAUACCUCUUCUCCCUAUCACUCCCCAUCUCUUAAUGCUCAGAAUGAACAUUAAGGAACAUUAAGGAACAUUAAGGAAGGCUCAGAGUGAACAGCUAGCAAACAGGAUAGGAGAUGAUCAGAAAGGAAAAGUGUCUCUCUUGCCCUUCCUAACUGGGAGGCUUU